UACGGAGGGUGCAAGCGUUGUUCGGAAUCACUGGGCGUAAAGGGCGUGUAGGCGGUCCGCUAAGUCUGAUGUGAAAGCCCGGGGCUCACCCCCGGAAGGGCAUUGGAAACUGGCGGACUCGAGUCCCGGAGAGGAAGGUGGAAUUCCUGGUGUAGCGGUGAAAUGCGUAGAUAUCAGGAGGAAUACCGGUGGCGAAGGCGGCCUUCUGGACGGUGACUGACGCUGAGACGCGAAAGCGUGGGGAGCAAACGGG
rnacentral:rRNA from 1 species